ACUGGCUGACGAGUCCCAGAUAGGAUGAAAUGCGCAUCCUGGAU
rnacentral:hammerhead_ribozyme from 1 species